rnacentral:lncRNA from 1 species
CAAGGCCUUUGCUGAGCUCACUCCAAGAAUUUCUCUUCAUUUCUGCAGGGAAAUAACCUAAGGCGCCACAAUAUUACCUAUCAGGGCAGCAUAGCAGAGCUGAAAUCUCUGUGAAGAAGAGGAUUUACCCUAAGGAGAAGAGAAAAUGGAGUCAGAAGUCAGAGUGAAGGAAAGCAUUGAAAGUGAGUGACAACAGAAAACAGUAACUUUCAUCAAAUUGCUUUUGCAUCUGGCGCCUGUCUUCUACGUUGCCAAAUAUAUGCACUCCUGCAUGAUGGGUGAGUCUUGCCAAAUCCUUCUGAACUUGUUUUACUUAAUUUUUUUUCCUCUGACAUUUGAAAAAUUUCCAAUUUGCUUUCCUAUUGGCUACAUCCUGCAUCAUAAUUUUUGUGGACUGUUCCCUUGCCCCGCACAUCCCCUAAAUCAUGAAUUAUUCAACCACUCUACUUAAAAAACAUUAUCUGUAUUUUUAGUCCAGAGAACAUUAAAUGCUGCUAUGACAUCAGUCAGUUAACUUUAUUGUGCUGUCCUCAGAACCAUAAACGAACUGGAUUUCAGAUGCAGACAGACCUGC